rnacentral:tRNA from 1 species
GGGGCUGUAGCUCAGUGGUAGAGCGCUCACCUAGCACAUGUGAGGCCCUGGGUUCAAUCCUCAGCACCA